GACGAACGCUGGCGGCGUGCUUAACACAUGCAAGUCGAACGGAAAGGCCCUGCUUGCAGGGUACUCGAGUGGCGAACGGGUGAGUAACACGUGGGUGAUCUGCCCUGCACUUCGGGAUAAGCUUGGGAAACUGGGUCUAAUACCGGAUAGGAACCAUCUUUAGUGUGGUGGUUGGAAAGUUUUUUCGGUGUAGGAUGAGCUCGCGGCCUAUCAGCUUGUUGGUGGGGUAAUGGCCUACCAAGGCGGCGACGGGUAGCCGGCCUGAGAGGGUGUACGGCCACAUUGGGACUGAGAUACGGCCCAGACUCCUACGGGAGGCAGCAGUGGGGAAUAUUGCACAAUGGGCGCAAGCCUGAUGCAGCGACGCCGCGUGGGGGAUGAAGGCCUUCGGGUUGUAAACUCCUUUCGCUAGGGACGAAGUUUUUUGUGACGGUACCUAGAUAAGAAGCACCGGCUAACUACGUG
rnacentral:rRNA from 1 species